CAGUAGCCGCGGUAAUACGUAGGCAGCGAGCGUUGUUCGGAAUUACUGGGCGUAAAGAGUGUGUAGGCGGUGCUCUAAGUUCGGUGUGAAAUCUCCUGGCUUAACUGGGAGGGUGCGCCGGAAACUGGAGUGCUCGAGCGUGGGAGAGGAAAGCGGAAUUCCUGGUGUAGCGGUGAAAUGCGUAGAUAUCAGGAGGAACACCUGUGGUGUAGACGGCUUUCUGGACCAUUGCUGACGCUGAGACACGAAAGCGUGGGUAGCAAACAGGAUUAGAUACCCCCGUAGUCCCUGUCUCUUAUAC
rnacentral:rRNA from 1 species